rnacentral:rRNA from 1 species
AGUGGCAAACGGGUGAGUAUAAUGUGGGAAUCUGCCUUUUGGUUCGGAAUAACACGAGGAAACUUGUGCUAAUACCGGAUAAGCCUUCACAGGGAAAGUUUUAAUGCCAAAAGAUGAGCCCGCACUUGAUUAGCUAGUUGGUAAGGUAAUAGCUUACCAAGGCAACGAUCAAUAGCUGUUCUUAGAGGAAGACCAGCCACAUUGGGACUGAGACACGGCCCAAACUCCUACGGGAGGCAGCAGUGGGGAAUCUUGCACAAUGGGGGAAACCCUGAUGCAGCGAUGCCGCGUGAGUGAAGAAGGCCCUUGGGUUGUAAAACUCUUUCGUCGGGGAAGAAAAUGACUGUACCCGAAUAAGAAGGUCCGGCUAACUUCGUGCCAGCAGCCGCGGUAAUACGAAGGGACCUAGCGUAGUUCGGAAUUACUGGGCUUAAAGAGUUCGUAGGUGGUUAAAAAAGUUGAUGGUGAAAUCCCAAGGCUCAACCUUGGAACUGCCAUCAAAACUUUUUAGCUAGAGUAUGAUAGAGGAAAGUGGAAUUUCUAGUGUAGAGGUGAAAUUCGUAGAUAUUAGAAAGAACAUCAAAUGCGAAGGCAACUUUCUGGAUCAUUACUGACACUGAGAACGAAGCAUGGCUAGCGAGAGAUAGAUACCCUCGUAGUCCAUGCGU